rnacentral:rRNA from 1 species
GAUGAACGCUGGCGGCGUGCCUAAUACAUGCAAGUCGAGCGAACAGACGAGGAGCUUGCUCCUCUGACGUUAGCGGCGGACGGGUGAGUAACACGUGGAUAACCUACCUAUAAGACUGGGAUAACUUCGGGAAACCGGAGCUAAUACCGGAUAAUAUAUUGAACCGCAUGGUUCAAUAGUGAAAUACGGUUUUGCUGUCACUUAUAGAUGGAUCCGCGCCGCAUUAGCUAGUUGGUAAGGUAACGGCUUACCAAGGCAACGAUGCGUAGCCGACCUGAGAGGGUGAUCGGUCACACUGGAACUGAGACACGGUCCAGACUCCUACGGGAGGCAGCAGUAGGGAAUCUUCCGCAAUGGGCGAAAGCCUGACGGAGCAACGCCGCGUGAGUGAUGAAGGUCUUCGGAUCGUAAAACUCUGUUAUUAGGGAAGAACAAAUGUGUAAGUAACUAUGCACGUCUUGACGGUACCUAAUCAGAAAGCCACGGCUAACUACGUG